GACCCAGUCUCAAAAAAAAAAAAAAGUGUGUGUGUGUGUAUAUAUAUGUAUAUAUAUAUACACACACACACACUUUCCAAUACCAGUCGGCAUUACCCGCCCUUUGGUUUCUUUUGCUUUGGAUUUCAGCCCCCAUAUCAUUUCUGGUAACAGAGCACAGCAAUAGAAUUUCUGGGAAGCAGACCUUGUGAAUCGUGCCUGUGUCUUAAUUCACAAAGGGUAAGUGAAUGCCGUUGAAAGGUGUUUCAUACACUUACCCCAGAAAUGAGAGCCUGUCUCAUGCAGGAGUCGGGAGGCAGCGAUGUCAGGGAACUGGGACUAUGUCUUUAUGACUGUGAUGGUGGUAACCAAGUGGGGUGGUCCCCUCUGGGGAGCUGAGUAAGAACGCAAAGGUUUGGGUCAGUGAUUAGGAAGACUAUAAUAUGACUUUGUGCAUGCCCGGGAGGGCUGCCUUGUAGAGAGGAUGUGAGCAGCUUAGUCGCUCAUCUGGCCCUGUGAUUCAGGCUUAUGGAGCGUUAAGAAUAACAGCUGUCAAAUGGCCUAGACAUGGUUAAUGCAAUUUGUUGCUAGUGGAAAUCCUGAAUUGCUUCCUUUCUGUGAUCACUGCUACUUCUUAAGAUGCUUUUGAUGAAUGUCAUCUGCCUUACAAGUUGACACCUGAUAACUUCUCCCUGAUGGGUUUCCGAACUGGCUGACUUAACCAAAAAGCCAGCUCUUGCCAUCUAUCUUGCAUUAAAAGGAAUUCCUGAGGCUCCUAAGGGGUCAGCUGCCCCACUCCUGACUUUUUUAUUUUUAAUGGUCUAUACCUUCUGCAACAUUUUUGUUUAUGGCCAUUUGAAUAGUUGGACUUUGACUCCUCACUUGUGAAUAAUAGGAAUAUAUUUUGCAGAAUCUAACAUAAUACCCUUAAAAUUCAUACUGGACAACCAUCAGUGUGAUGUAUAGUAUCUGGUGUAAACAAAUUUUAUUCAGCAUAUUAAAUUAUUCUGUGUUUUGCUUUUCCUUGAUAUGUAGGAGGUGCACCAGUACCAGUUUUUCUCUUGUGGUGGCUUAAAACGCUGAUUGCCAUUUGCAUUGUCUACUGAAAAGCUGUGGCAGCGAGUGGUAUUAUUGACCAUGUGUUCUCAUGUCUUUUUGCAGAUUUAAAGGUUUUAUUGUAGUGUCCAUUUAAUAUCUGCAUGUGUGUUUAAUCUCUGAAUACCAUGUAAUUAAACUGAUUAACUUGUGAUGGUGAUGGUGAUUAGCACACACUAAAAACCCAAUGAAGCAAUUGUCUCCCUCUUCUUAACUGGAAAUCACACUUGUGAGGUAUGGUAUCCAUUAUCAACAGUGGAUUCAUGAUUGACUUCAUAUUUUGUGUAUCUGGUUAUAAAUUUUGUAUAGCAUUUAAUUUGGCACUUAAUAUAAAUCCAUUUGAUUUGAAUAGUGUGUGUGUGUACAUGGUGUGUGUGUGUGUGUGCACUUUAGUUUCGUGAGCCUUGGGAAACUGAUUCUACAAAUAUCUUAUAUAGAGAUAAAUGUAUCAGGCAUUUUUUUGCAAAGCGAUAUAUACAUUCCUCUUAUUUAUUAAAUCACUGGCUUUGGUGUUAUGUAGAGAUAUUUGUAGAUCUCAGAACA
rnacentral:lncRNA from 1 species